CAAUUUUCAACGAUGAUGAAGAAAAAUCGAGAAUCGGCAAUGCAGAUUCCCGGUAACAUUUAUAGCACUACCUAAGUAAAUAAAAAUAUCGACGAACCAUCGCAAAAAUUGACAUUGGCGUCAAAUUUACCGGACUACCGCUCACUUGUGGAUAAGGUGCUAAGCUAGCAAGUGGCGACUCACGGAAGCGCGGAGAAAAUCGACAAGGAACAAAUAAAAAGGGAUCCACCCUAUCCACGGAUUAAAAAUGAAUGCCUAAUCGAAUAUGGAAUUGAACCAGAUAUCAAUUACAAUAGUCAAGAAGGCAUUUCGCCACUCACAGAAUUGGAAAUGUAUUGCGUAGCUGCAUGUAUUUACAGAGACGAUGGACUUAUGAAACCAGAUGGUACGAUAAAUACCGAAAAAGCAGACGAAUAUUUUGAUUCUGACCAUCAAGUGGAAAAAGAAAUAUUUUUUUCUAUUCUCGAUGCUUGUCAUGAUGGUAA